CCUACCGUCACAGGUACUAAGUUUGUUUCUCUUUCCGCUGGAGUAGAAAUGCAAUAUUAUGGCCAUUGUAGUGUUUUUGUUUCUUCUAUCAAAAAGAAUUUGAUGAGGACGGGCACCAGAAGAUCUAAACGUUGAAGGCCUUUGAGUGAUGCUAAAGAAGAUGGUAUGCUUCCCUGUAAAGAAUUUCCUUGCAAAUAGAGGUACUCUAAUGUUAUGCAUUCUCCAAUAGUUUCAGGAAUGUGACCAGACAAAAGAUUCUCAGACACAUCUAGAUGAUUAACAUUUUUCAGCUUUCCCACUUCUUUUGGUAUAUUGCCACUCAAUGAGUUUUGUGACAAUUUCAACAAGAUUGACAAAGAGGAGAGAUUAAAGAUCUCUAAAGGUGGAAAGAAAAAUGGUCGGAUCUAUGAAAUUGGAGAGGUCAUUCGGACUAAACAUAGGGAGAAGCUCACAUAUCAUGGAACUUCAAUUCACUCUCAUGAUUCAUAAGAGAUUGUGCAAUUAAAACAACAAGUUUUGAAUUAUAGAGAGGAUAAUGAAUGGUUAAGUCAAAAAUUACAACAACAACAACGGCAAUUACAAUAAUUUUGUCCUCCAUUUUCUUCCACCUCAUGCACAAACUACAUUUCAACACCAACAAUAGCAAGAGCAACAACACCAACUUGAGGAAGGUCAACAUGUUCUUAAAGCUUAAAGCUUCAUUUUAGAUUAUGAGUUGUCAACACUUGUAUUUUUUUUUUCUAGAUUAAAUGUUGUUACUUUUGAUAUGGAUUUUGUAUUGUUUAUAACUUGAAUUUGGAUU